GUCACGCCCCCCUCUCGUUCGCUCGGCCCUUCGGGUGGACGGUGGCCGGGAGGAGCUACUCGCUGCAUUUUAUUUCCCCCCUCGAAGCCGUGGUCGGGACGUCGUUUCGGAAACGGGAGCCGGGCUAGCGGCGAUGUCCGUGAGCGGGGGCUGCACGGCCAGGAGUGCGCAGCCCCAGCGGGCCCGGCGCGGCCUCAGCCUGCCACCUCGUCGGGUAGCGCGGGACAGGGGCCGGGACUGAGCCGCCCUGGGCCCAGCAGGGAGAGCCGCCGCGGAGCCCAGAGGAGACGGGAGCUGCCGCGGGUCCGGGUCCGCCCGAGGAUGGGAAUCCUCUUCACCAGGAUCUGGAGGCUGUUCAACCACCAGGAGCACAAAGUAAUCAUUGUUGGUCUGGAUAAUGCAGGAAAAACAACCAUCCUUUACCAGUUUUCUAUGAAUGAAGUGGUGCAUACCUCUCCUACGAUAGGCAGCAAUGUAGAAGAGAUAGUGGUUAAUAACACACGUUUUCUAAUGUGGGAUAUUGGAGGGCAAGAGUCUCUUCGAUCUUCAUGGAAUACUUAUUAUACAAACACAGAGUUUGUCAUCGUUGUUGUGGACAGCACAGACAGAGAGCGAAUUUCUGUAACUAAAGAAGAACUUUAUAAAAUGUUAGCACAUGAGGACUUAAAGAAAGCAGGUUUGCUUAUUUUUGCUAACAAACAAGAUGUUAAAGAGUGCAUGACGAUAGCUGAAAUAUCCCAGUUUCUGAAACUAACUUCAGUUAAAGAUCACCAGUGGCAUAUCCAAGCAUGCUGUGCUCUAACUGGCGAGGGAUUGUGCCAAGGACUUGAAUGGAUGAUGUCAAGACUUAAAAUCAGAUGAUUUUUAAUGACCUCUUUGCACCGACAUUGCAUACAAAAGUGCUGUACCUAUGGAUACCUUGGUUAACUGUACCUAUGGUAACCUGCAAAAAUAAUGGGUUAGAUGUAUUUAUAUUUCAACUUUAUUUUCUACACACACACAUAUUAAGGCCACCUCUUUGAAAACAGAUGAAGAUGAAGGUUCUAGUUUGUUUUCCCCAUUCAUUGCCUCUGAAGAUAGGUUUAAAAACUGUGGUUGACAUUCUUCUCAAGAUAAAGCCACUCAGGACUGUGUGUGCCAGCGGUUCAUGUUGCUCGUGUUGAAACGCUUCCUGAACAAAUCAUCUGAGGAAGUAGAGCGGUUGGAAGAGAAGGCGAAGGAGAGGAUUAUUCUCCUACAAAGGAGUUCACAGAUGGAAAAAGUGGGAGAACCACUGCUUGAACUGUUUUAUGGUCAAUAAAUUUUAAGACACUGUGUAUGAUAGGCUAAUAACUAUCUGAGCCAUUUUAAACUCUAGACUGUUUUGUUUUUUAAAAUGCCUUUAAAAGUGUUUAAACAUGUAUUUGUUGUUUACUACCUAAAUUGUCUUCAAAAUUCUGUCUAAAUUGACAGAAAUAAUGUGUGCAGACCUUGUUACAAAUUGGAAGUUUGAGGAAUACAUAUAUACUUAAACUAAUGAACCUUUUUUGCUUUGUGCUCAUUUUUUAAAAAUUGCAGUUAAUUCAGUCUCCUUUAGCUAAAAUUCUGUUUUCCUUUUUUUAUCAAAUGCUUCCUAGGUAGUUGAAAUGAUGAAGACAGCCAGUUUGGAGGUGGGCAGACUCUGCUAUACCUCCUGUAUGCCAUGUCUGGACCUCAGAGUAAUUAUACUAGUUUUGGCCAUAUGGCAUUCAUGUGUUCUGCACUCCCCCUUGACUCGGCUGUUUCUGGAAUACCUACUUGCAUUAUUGUUCCCCUAACUCCACAGUGGAGCUAAGUGAGUGGAGUUAUCUUGUUGCUUUCUCUACACUUUACCUAAAACUAAGCUACAUUUAUUUCUUCCAUUUAGCCCAAUUUCUUCUUUUUAGUCCAAUUAGGUACUAAGGGCAAAAUUUUAAAUCUGUAGGAAUUGUAUUGGCAAAGAAGUACAGUACUACAUGAUCACUUUCUAACCGAAUUGUUAAUGGUGAUUUGAAAAACAUGUACAGCUACAUAAGUUGGUCCAGCUUGUGUGUCUAAUAUCCUGGGAUCAGCAUGGUUACAACUACACUUCAGUGUUUAGCUUUGUCCUGUUAAAUUAUGGUCAGUCAAUGGGAGAGAUGCUGACAUUUAAAAAGUGGUGGACUGGGCUGGAGCUCACUUUCAACGAUAUCAUUUCAACAAAAUAAAAAAUGAAAUGUAUGUGUUCUCAUUUUACAAAUAAGAAAACUGCAUUGUUGGUAACUAUCCUACUCUUAGUGUGUGGAGUUUCUCAUGCUUUGGAAAAUAUUCAGUUCAGUAUAAUGUAUGGAAAGAACUAAAAAAUUUAGUCUCUCUAUGGGCUGUGAAUUGCUUUUGGUUUUCUGAAGGUUUCAUAAAUACUGUAUUAUGAAAAUGAUCAACUAUUAAUUGUGUGAAUCACAUAAUAGUAAAAGUUGCCGAGGUUGCAAGUGGACUACACUAUAACAGUAUGUUAUAUUAAAGUGUAGCUGACCGAC